UGGGGAAUAUUGCACAAUGGGCGCAAGCCUGAUGCAGCCAUGCCGCGUGUGUGAAGAAGGCCUUCGGGUUGUAAAGCACUUUCAGCGGGGAGGAAGGCGUUAAGGUUAAUAACCUUGGCGAUUGACGUUACCCGCAGAAGAAGCACCGGCUAACUCCGUGCCAGCAGCCGUGGUAAUACGGAGGGUGCAAGCGUUAAUCGGAAUUACUGGGCGUAAAGCGCACGCAGGCGGUCUGUCAAGUCGGAUGUGAAAUCCCCGGGCUCAACCUGGGAACUGCAUUCGAAACUGGCAGGCUAGAGUCUUGUAGAGGGGGGUAGAAUUCCAGGUGUAGCGGUGAAAUGCGUAGAGAUCUGGAGGAAUACCGGUGGCGAAGGCGGCCCCCUGGACAAAGACUGACGCUCAGGUGCGAAAGCGUGGGGAGCAAACAGGAUUAGAUACCCUGGUAGUCCACGCCGUAAACGAUGUCGAUUUGGAGGUUGUGCCCUUGAGGCGUGGCUUCCGGAGCUAACGCGUUAAAUCGACCGCCUGGGGAGUACGGCCGCAAGGUUA
rnacentral:rRNA from 1 species